GAUGAACGCUAGCGGCAGGCUUAAUACAUGCAAGUCGAGGGGCAGCAUGACUGUAGCAAUACGGUUGAUGGCGACCGGCAAACGGGUGCGGAACACGUACAGAACCUUCCUUCGAGCGGGGAAUAGCUCAGAGAAAUUUGGAUUAAUACCCCAUAGUAUUACGGAGUGGCAUCACUUUGUAAUUAAAGAUUUAUCACUUUAAGAUGGCUGUUCGGCUGAUUAGGUAGUUGGCGGGGUAACGACCCACCAAGCCUGCGAUCAGUAACUGGUGUGAGACCACGACCAGUCACACGGGAACUGAGACACGGGCCCGACUCCUACGGGAGGCAGCAGUAAGGAAUAUUGGUCAAUGGACGAAAGUCUGAACCAGCCAUGCCGCGUGGAGGAUGAAGGUCCUCUGGAUUGUAAACUUCUUUUAUAUGGGACGAAAAAAGGCUUUUCUAGGUCGUCUGACGGUACCAUGUGAAUAAGCACCGGCUAACUCCGUGCCAGCAGCCGCCGUAACAC
rnacentral:rRNA from 1 species